GCAUGGGUGGUUCAGUGGUAGAAUUCUUGCCUGCCACGUGGGAGGCCCGGGUUCGAUUCCUGGCCCAUGCA
rfam:Dipodomys ordii contig_60182, whole genome shotgun sequence.